GAAGGUGGCAAGCGUUGUUCGGAUUUACUGGGCGUACAGGGAGCGUAGGCGGUUGGAUAAGCCCUCCGUGAAAUCUCCAGGCUUAACCUGGAAAGUGCAGAGGGGACUGUUCAGCUAGAGGAUGGGAGAGGAGCGCGGAAUUCCCGGUGUAGCGGUGAAAUGCGUAGAGAUCGGGAGGAAGGCCGGUGGCGAAGGCGGCGCUCUGGAACAUUUCUGACGCUGAGGCUCGAAAGCGUGGGGAGCAAACAGGAUUAGAUACCCUGGUAGUCCACGCUGUAAACGAUGGGUACUAGGUUUGGUGGGUCUUGACCCCCGCCGAACCGGCGCUAACGCACUAAGUACCCCGCCUGGGAAGUACGGUCGCAAGACUA
rnacentral:rRNA from 1 species